CAGUCGCCACGGUAAUACGGAGGGUGCAAGCGUUAAUCGGAAUUACUGGGCGUAAAGCGCACGCAGGCGGUCUGACAAGUCAGAUGUGAAAUCCCCGGGCUUAACCUGGGAACUGCAUUUGAAACUGUCAGGCUGGAGUCUUGUAGAGGGGGGUGGAAUUCCAGGUGUAGCGGUGAAAUGCGUAGAGAUCUGGAGGAAUACCGGUGGCGAAGGCGGCCCCCUGGACAAAGACUGACGCUCAGGUGCGAAAGCGUGGGGAGCAAACAGGAUUAGAGACCCCUGUAGUCCCUGUCUCUUAUAA
rnacentral:rRNA from 1 species